rnacentral:lncRNA from 1 species
UUGAGCUAAGGACUGGCUGUAGCCUAGACAGUCUUCCAGCCUGGACGGAGGCCUCCUGAGCAACUCAGAGUGAAUGUGUUUUCAGAGUUAAGUACCAGGUGGGUGUGAUUUGUGUGUGUGUGUGCUUGUGUGUGUGCGCCAUGUUUUGAGUUUGGAUCAGGGGUGUGGGAUGGGGGGCUCAUUGUUGGGCUGUGCCUGCCUGGAAGAUCUCCUUGGCUGUGACACACAUAUUGAUGUCUUUUGAAAUGUCUAGCUUGUUCCGGAGGCUUUGUCAAGGCUAUCUUCCAGACCCUUCAACCCCUUCUCUUCCACCCUUUGGACCUUCAGGAUGGAUAGCGAAGGGCUUGUGCAGUUAGAUGUCAUCACCACAGACUCUGCCUGGGAAAUGGGAGGAGGUGAUUUCAUCCCUGUGUGCAGGUCACAGAGUGCCCCCACACAAGUUAAAUUGCUGCAACUUUGACCGGCAGUGCAGUCACACAGGAUCCAUCCCCCUUGUAUCUGAGGGCGUGGAACCUGCUGUGUCCGGCUCAAGGCAGUUUCUCGGGGCCACCCAUUGCCAGAUCCACUGUCUAGGGAUCAAAAAGGACUUCAAGAGGUGCAGAGACUUCCAAGAUCACACAGAGGUGGGACCUGAGUGUACUGAGUCCAAACACAGGUAUCUGCUUCUCUGUCUGUCUUUCCUUCUUGCUGUCUUUGGAGGCAGGCAUUGUGGGUACAGACAGCUUCCAUGGCCAGGGUAUGCUGCCCUUGAGCACAGCCCUGCUGUUCCUAGGCUGGACAGACACAUGGACAAGCAUCAUCAUCCUGAAAACCUCAUGGUUUCCUCGAUUGGUUGCCCUGAGGGUCUGCCCAAGGCCAGGGUUUCCCCACUAGCCAACAUCUCUAAAUCCCAGGGACACUAUUCCAUUUUGGAGUUUCUCCCCAAUGCCCCCAAUGGCUCUCCAUUGCCAAGUGCCCCAGGGACUCCUAGGCUGUGAGAUACCAUUUGUCAUCGGGAGGUCUCUACUUUGAAAGUGGGGAAACUGAGUCUCAAGCUCGGGGACAUCAAUAGUCAGGAAGCUCAGAUCCACAGAGAGAAGCUGGCUUCUGCCCGAGUUCCAUACUCCUCUAGGCUUCUCCAUCGGCCACAUGGUAAGUUGGAUCGAGGGUAGACAAGCUGGAGCUGUGCAUGUCCCCAGCUGUGCCUAAGGGACCCUACUUCCCCUGAGAACAAAGCUAUCACCAAGCCUGUCUCUGCUGCAGUUCAUGUCCCAGCUGUGGCUCAGGGUCCCCCAAUUCCCCUGCUACAGUGCAUGUCCCAGCUGUGCCUCAGGGACCCCAUGUUCCCUGCUGCAGUGCAUGUCCCUAGAUGUGCCUCAGGGUCCCCAUGUCCCCUGCUGCAGUGUGUGUCCCCAGCUGUGUCUCAGGGUUCCCCCAAUUCUCCUGCUGUAGUACAUGUUCCCAGCUGUGUCUCAUGGACCCCAGUUCCUCUGAGAACAGCAUUAUCACCAAGCCUGUCUCAGAUGGGGUUGAGGUUUCCUCUGCACACAAUAAAGGCCCUGGGACAAAUGCUUUCCAGCGCCGAUGGCUGGUGCAGUAGUGAGGAAGCUUAAAGGGCAGGGCUCUAGAGAGCUUAGAAUAGUUUGUUUUUUUUUUUCAUUGCUGUGAAGAAAUAUCCUACAAGAGCCAUCAGAAGGAGAAGGGUUUUAUUCUGUCCCCGAUUGAGGACAUCAUGCCCAUCAGGAAAGACAAGGCAUGAGAAAGCAGACCACACAUGGCAUCCACAGUCACAAAUGCUGGUACUCAGUUCAAUUUCUUCUUUGUAUCCAGGCCUGGAUCCUAGCCCAGGGAUGGUGGUUUUCACAUUUAGAGUGUAUCUCCCAUCUCAGUUAACCUAACCUUAGAAAUUCCGUCACAGAGCACGUUCAGAAUCUCUGGGGUUGAGACUUCUCCAAAAACUUCUGCAGGAUCCUGGUGGGAAGCUCUCUCCUCUCUCUGCGUCAGCUUCCUGGGGGACCCACCGUUCCUUCCAGCCCAGAGCGGCAUCACUGUCUACACAUCACAAGCCUGGGUUGGUGUCGAGUGUCUCUGACUUUGGAGUCUCGAGCCCCGGACUUAGUUUUAUGGGCUUUGGCUGUCGAGGGCAGCCGACGACUCCAUCCAUCAACCGGGGACUGCUCUAACACUAAUGGUGAAUUUAUAGAAGUGGUUAAACAAAGUGUUGACAAUGCGGACGGUGUGUUUCUGAUUAACACACGAUUCCGAGGGAAGCUGCCAUCCGAGGGGGGAGUCAGUAAAACACAGCAGUGAAUUCCCAGGCCCCGGAGACUCCGACUAGACUGGAUCACCAGAGGUUGCGCAAGGAGAUCAUGAGUCUGAGGCUGCUGUGGGGACUCUUGUACAAACCCAGAGCCACCCCUCCCUUCCCCCCCUUUUUUUUUCUUGAGAGAUUACAUCUGAGUUCUCUCUUCCAGCCUUAAGCGUUUCCAUUAGAAAAUUCUGUCAGCUCCCAUGGUGUUCUCUCCAAACCCUGUCCUCAGACCAACCCCUCUCCC